GGGUUAACGUCCCGUAACGAGCGCAACCCUUGUCCUUAGUUACCAGCACGUUAUGGUGGGCACUCUAAGGAGACUGCCGGUGACAAACCGGAGGAAGGGUGGGGAUGACGUCAAGUCAUCAUCGGCCCUUACGGCCGUGGGCUACACACGUGCUACAAUGGUCGGUACAAAGGGUUGCCAAGCCGCGAGGUGGAGCUAAUCCCAUAAAACCGAUCGUAGUCCGGAUCGCAGUCUGCAACUCGACUGCGUGAAGUCGGAAUCGCUAGUAAUCGUGAAUCAGAAUGUCACGGUGAAUACGUUCCCGGGCCUU
rnacentral:rRNA from 1 species